UAAACGAGGCAAGAUUUCGACAACACGUAAACCCAUUGUCGCGUAAAUAUCAAAUGCAAACAGAAUUACCACCCAACUGGCCAGCGGAUGGAUCCACAUUUGCU
rnacentral:sRNA from 1 species